rnacentral:rRNA from 1 species
GACGAACGCUGGCGGCGUGCCUAAUACAUGCAAGUCGAACGCAGUGGGGACGGGUGAGUAACACGUGGGUAACCUCCCAUCAGAGGGGAUAACACUUGGAAACAGGUGCUAAACCGAUACUGAUGGAUGGACCCGCGGUGCAUUAGCUAGCUGGUGAGGUAACGGCUCACCAAGGCCACGAUGUAUAGAAGACCUGAGAGGGUGAGCGGCCUGACUGGGACUGAGACACGGCGCAGAGUCCUGCGGGGGGCAGCAGUAGGGAAUCUUCGGCAAUGGACGAAAGUCUGACCGAGCAACGCCGUGUGAGUGAAGAAGGUUUUCGGAUCAUAAAACACUGUUGUUAGAGAAGCGGUAUCUAACCAGAGGGCCACGGCUAACUACGUGCCAGCAGCCGCGGUAAUAC